AACCUUAUUUAUAAUUUAGAUUUUGAAAAUCUAAAAAGGUUUAAUUUAACCUAAGGUUU
rnacentral:tRNA from 1 species